AGAAACUUAGGUUAAAUAUAAACCAAGGGCCUUCAAAGCCCUAAAUAAGAGAACAGACUCCUAGUUUCUG
rnacentral:tRNA from 1 species